CACGUAGGGCGCGAGCGUUGUCCGGAAUUAUUGGGCGUAAAGAGCUCGUAGGCGGCCUGUUGCGUCCGCUGUGAAAGCCCGGGGCUUAACCCCGGGUCGGCAGUGGAUACGGGCAGGCUAGAGGUAGGUAGGGGAGAAUGGAAUUCCCGGUGUAGCGGUGAAAUGCGCAGAUAUCGGGAGGAACACCGGUGGCGAAGGCGGCUCUCUGGGACGGUACUGACGCUGAGACGCGAAAGCGUGGGGAGCGAACAGG
rnacentral:rRNA from 1 species